CCUACGGGAGGCAGCAGUGGGGAAUAUUGGACAAUGGGGGCAACCCUGAUCCAGCAAUGCCGCGUGUGUGAAGAAGGCCUUCGGGUUGUAAAGCACUUUUGUACGGAAAGAAAGCUUCCGGGUUAAUACCCUGGGAGGAUGACGGUACCGUAAGAAUAAGCACCGGCUAACUUCGUGCCAGCAGCCGCGGUAAUACGAAGGGUGCAAGCGUUAAUCGGAAUUACUGGGCGUAAAGCGUGCGUAGGUGGUUGUUCAAGUCUGUCGUGAAAGCCCUGGGCUCAACCUGGGAAUGGCGAUGGAAACUGUGCGACUAGAGUGCGGUAGAGGAUGGUGGAAUUCCCGGUGUAGCGGUGAAAUGCGUAGAGAUCGGGAGGAACAUUCGUGGCGAAGGCGGCCAUCUGGACCAGCACUGACACUGAGGUACGAAAGCGUGGGGAGCAAACAGGAUUAGAUACCCUGGUAGUCCACGCCCUAAACGAUGCGAACUGGAUGUUGGUCUCAACUUGGAGAUCAGUGUCGAAGCUAACGCGUUAAGUUCGCCGCCUGGGGAGUACGGUCGCAAGACUGAAACUCAAAGGAAUUGACGG
rnacentral:rRNA from 1 species